GCACCCCGCUGGAGCCAGCCUGGGCAGUGGACAGCAGCGGAGUAUCCUUGGUAAGUAUCCCUAAAACCCAAUGGAGGAAUCUCCACACACUCCAAGGAAGAAUAUGUUAGAAGAACCUACUAUAUGGAAAGAGGACUGGGCUUCUAUAGUGGGAAGGAGUUGACUGCCAGUGAUAUGUCUACAGCACCGGAGCAAAGUGACAACCAGGAGCAGGUUUUAGCCAGAGGCAGUGGGAAGCUGCGGAGCCGAAGCUGGGGCAGCAGAGCUGGCAGUGACAUAAAGAAGGUGGAGCUUGGGGUCAAACCACUGUGGGGCUAGAUAGGGGCUGUGGGGCUGGGAGAGGCACUGUAGGGAUUGAGCUGGAAUAGGGAUUCUAGAGCUGAAGCUGAAGCAUCAAGAGACCUGAAGCUGAAAUGAAGAUCCUGCCUUGGUCCAGGAGCAGCUUCACGUGGCAGCAGCAGGAAGAUGCAGAGCUGGAGUGGAAACAUCAGAGCUGGCAGAGAAAUAAAGCUUGUGGGGCUGCAGCUGAAAUUACUGGA